rnacentral:lncRNA from 1 species
GUUUUUUUUUUGCACCUUGUUUACACUAACUGCUCACCAAUAAAUGAAGCUUUGCAGAUGUGUCUUGGCCUGUCCACUUGUUUAAUUCUUUACCCUUUUAGAAAAAGUAUAUUUGACUUAUAAAUUGAAGCUAUUGUAUAAUGGGGCUGUUUGUAGAUAAAACAGUAAAGCCAUGAUUCUUAUUCUCUCUUUCUCUCCCACAUCUUUAUAGCAGGCACCAAAGGACUUCAGGAAUGCAGAGCCACAACACAGAAAGUAUUCACGCCCCUGAUCAUCUGAAGAGGAGUCAUGUAGACCGACCAUCAAUAGUGCACUUUGCAUAUGUGAUAAAAAUCAUGUUUGCUGUGCUAAGCUACUGCUACAAAGAGACGAUUUCUUCAGUUUGCAUUGUUCGCCCUAUGCAGGAAUACAGUGAAAUUUCAUCAUCCCACCCUCCUUUUGAGAUGUAUAAUAAUUACUUGGUUCUUUCGGACGAAAUGACUUUAAUUUAACACCAAUUUUGUUAGAUGCGAUUUUUUCAGAG